GAUGAACGCUAGCUACAGGCUUAACACAUGCAAGUCGAGGGGCAGCAUGACGAUAGCUUGCUAUUGUUGAUGGCGACCGGCGCACGGGUGAGUAACGCGUAUCCAACCUUCCCGUUGCUAGGGGAUAACCUUGCGAAAGUAAGACUAAUACCCUAUGAUGUUCUUCGCAGACAUCUAAAGAGAACGAAAGAUUUAUCGGCAACGGAUGGGGAUGCGUCUGAUUAGGUUGUUGGCGGGGUAACGGCCCACCAAGCCCACGAUCAGUAGGGGUUCUGAGAGGAAGGUCCCCCACAUUGGAACUGAGACACGGUCCAAACUCCUACGGGAGGCAGCAGUGAGGAAUAUUGGUCAAUGGACGGAAGUCUGAACCAGCCAAGUAGCGUGCAGGAUGACGGCCCUAUGGGUUGUAAACUGCUUUUAUGUGGGAAUAAAGUGAGGGACGUGUCCCUUUUUGUAGGUACCACAUGAAUAAGGACCGGCUAAUUCCGUG
rnacentral:rRNA from 1 species